UAAUGUAUGGGGAUCUGCCCGAUAGAGGGGGAUAACACUGGAAACGGUGGCUAAUACCGCAUAAUGUCUACGGACCAAAGCAGGGGCUCUUCGGACCUUGCACUAUCGGAUGAACCCAUAUGGGAUUAGCUAGUAGGUGGGGUAAAGGCUCACCUAGGCGACGAUCUCUAGCUGGUCUGAGAGGAUGAUCAGCCACACUGGACUGAGACACGGCCCAG
rnacentral:rRNA from 1 species